CCUACGGGUGUCAGCAGUGAGGAAUAUUGGUCAAUAGACGGAAGUCUGAACCAGCAAUGCCGCGUGCAGGACGACGGCUCUAUGAGUUGUAAACUGCUUUUGUACAAGGGUAAACCUGAAUACGUGUAUUCAGCUGAAAGUACUGUACGAAUAAGGCUCGGCUAACUCCGUGCCAGCAGCCGCGGUAAUACGGAGGAUCCAAGCGUUAUCCGGAUUUAUUGGGUUUAAAGGGUGCGUAGGCGGAUUGAUAAGUUAGAGGUGAAAUGUCCGAGCUUAACUCGGGAACUGCCUCUACUACUGUUGAUAGAGAGAGUAGAUGCGGUAGGCGGAAGGUAUGGUGUAGCGGUGAAAUGCUUAGAGAUCAGACAGAACACAGAUUGCGAAGGCAGCUUACCAAUCUAUAUCUGACGUUGAGGCACGAAAGCGUGGGGAGCAAACAGGAUUAGAUACCCGUGUAGUC
rnacentral:rRNA from 1 species